rnacentral:lncRNA from 1 species
AUAGAUAUAUAAAAGUAAUGAUUUAGGUUAUAUUGACUUCAGGUUAUAUAAAUAUAUCAGGUUAUAUUGAUAUCUUGCAACUCAAGAUAUAUAAGCACCUUGUAACUUUGAUCUCAAAGUUACAUAGGCAUCAUCUGUUUUGUGUAAAGAAGCAGUGUAUGCUCUCAUCUACUCUAAUUUUGGAGCUAUGAUCUCACUUUAAUCAGAAGCACAAUACAGAUAUGCUGCUUUAUUUAUCCAUGUUUCCUGCACUUCUGUAAACAUGACAGCAUGAGCCUGGCACAGAUACAUAAGAUGUACAAAUACACAAGGUGUAUUCCCUCUGCUUCCAUAUUGAUGAUGGAUUUUCUUUUUCUUGCAUAUUUACCUAGUUUCAAUAAUAGAUGUGGGCUUAUUCAAGAACCAUGAAUGCUCAUAUUCAUUAUAAGAUAAAGUCACUACAAUUAUUACAAGCUAGACCAGUCUCAACUUUUUGAGAGUAAAUAUAUUUUUAUUUUUUUAUGUGAAGUUAUCGGCCUUGUAAGCCAAAAGUACUAUAACUAAAAUACUAGUUAAUUUUUAGGAGAGAAAACCACAGCAGAAUAAAAAGGAAUUUCAAGUAUUUUCAUGUUUGACAACCUUUGUGGUCCUUUUAGGAGUAUAAAGACUGUCUCACUGUGUGUGACAUUGGUUUGUCUGUUGCAAUAUGCUUAGUAGUUAUGUGUACAGCAAAAGCUUCAUUGGCCCUGGCCUCUGGGCAGGAGGGAAAUCUUGUCUUGUGAUACACUACUUUUAUUUCUUUUCUAGACAUUUGUUAGCAACAGAAUGUCAUCUAUGCAUCCUGGACAUGAAAACAUGGAAGGAAAAAGCAGUAGGUGACAGCCACAGGGAAGGACUUGAAUGCUGCAGUUCCUUGUGCCAACAUCCAAGUAGAACCCGUGGACAACCAUAAAAAUACUUAGGUGCAUUAUAUCCUUUAUAUGCUUUACCAUAGAAUGAAAAUAUUUUCUAAUGAGACAGUUACUUUUUCAUGAGAAAUUCAACAAGGCAUUUGGAAAUGAGGACAGAGUGAGAAGCUCUGGAAAAUUUAGGACUUCUGGGUAACUGAAACUUCCAAACUGUCAAAAUUCAGCCAGAUGCUAUUUCUUAAAUAGCAUUGUACUAAUAAAAACACCAUAGAGCAUAUCA